ACCACUUUUGUUUCUGAAGUAAGCACUUGCGGAGAUACCUCCAUCAAUCUUCGUUCAUGGUUAUUCAAAAAUCCUCCCAGGAUUUUAACUGCAAUCAAACUGUUUCCACAAGACUGCAGACUAUAAAGAUGAAUAAUGAGGAAUUGAGGCCUUCCCUUCAGUGUGAGAAGACAACAGAAUCUCGCUCAGUUGUCUGAGGUUGCUUGUGGGCUGCACCAGACAGUGAAAGAAAACAUUUCCAGCCAUUGGUUUUAUCUAGAUGACACCAGUGCAAAACAGAGUUGCCACAGUGAAGAAAUGGAUCCAAAAGUCAAAGGUCUUGAAAUUCUUUGAGGUUUCUACUGGUUACUUUCGCUAACUCUGAUGGGACACCAAUGGAAUCCUCAUCAAAGCCACACAAGUAGUCAUAGAAUUCAAGAGACAAACUACCAUUUUUACUGCGUUUGGCCUGUAUGUGGCAGAUGGCGAUGAGGAGGCGUACGGGAGUGAGAUAUGUCGGCUGGUUGAGUGGUGUCGCAACAACAACCUCGCAUUCAGUGUCAGCAAAACCAAGGAAUUGAUUGUGGACUUCAGGAAGGGGAAGUUGGGAGAACACACACCGGUCCUCACUGAGGAGUCAGCAGUGGAAAGGGUGAUCCAGUUAAGACAGAUGUCACCCAGAAUCCAUCCCUUCGUCAAAACAAAAUGGGAGUGGAAGAACUCUUUCAGCAUGACUCUCAAUCAUUUAAUAGAAAGCCAUCAUUAGCACUAGUCAUAUCCUCAACCAACCUAUUCCAGUGCAGCUACAACACUAUUCAAUAAAAAUGGACAACACUUACCGGCCAUUGAUGGUGCUGGUAACCGACACUGCAUUACCAUCUUCUGCUACCACAGAGAGAUGGGAUGUUCCA